rnacentral:rRNA from 1 species
AGAACGAACGCUGGCGGCAGGCUUAACACAUGCAAGUCGAACGCUCGUAGCAAUACGGGAGUGGCAGACGGGUGAGUAACGCGUGGGAACAUACCCUCCGGUUCGGAAUAGCUCAGGGAAACUUGGAUUAAUACCGGAUACGGCUGAGAGGCGAAAGAUUUAUCGCCGGAGGAUUGGCCCGCGUUCGAUUAGCUAGUUGGUGAGGUAACGGCUCACCAAGGCUAUGAUCGAUAGCUGGUCUGAGAGGAUGAUCAGCCACAUUGGGACUGAGACACGGCCCAAACUCCUACGGGAGGCAGCAGUGGGAAUAUUGGACAAUGGGCGCAAGCCUGAUCCAGCCAUGCCGCGUGAGUGAUGACGGCCUUAGGGUUGUAAAGCUCUUUCGCUCGGGACGAUAAUGACGGUACCGAGAUAAGAAGCCCCGGCUAACUUCGUGCCAGCAGCCGC